AGAGUUUGAUCCUGGCUCAGGAUUAACGCUGGCGGCAUGCCUAAUACAUGCAAGUCGAACGAAAAAUAUAGAAGUGCUUGCACAUUUAUAUUUUUAGUGGCGAACGGGUGAGUAAUAUAUAGAUAACCUGCCUUAAAGUUGGGGAUAACAGAGGGAAACCUCUGCUAAUACCGAAUACGAUAACUAGACGCAUGUUUAGUUAUUAAAAGGGGCUCCAAAGCCCCGCUCUAAGAGGGGUCUAUAUCGCAUUAGCUAGUUGGUAAGAUAACAGCCUACCAAGGCGAUGAUGCGUAGCUGUACUGAGAGGUAGAACAGCCACAUUGGGACUGAGAUACGGCCCAAACUCCUACGGGAGGCAGCAGUAGGGAAUUUUCGGCAAUGGGGGGAACCCUGACCGAGCAAUGCCGCGUGAUUGAAGAAGAUCUUCGGAUCGUAAAGAUCUGUUAUUAGGGAAGAAUGGAAUUGAUAGGAAAUGAUCAAUUUAUGACGGUGCCUAAUGAGGAAGCCCCGGCUAACUAUGUGCCAGCAGCCGCGGUAAUACAUAGGGGGCGAGCGUUAUCCGGAAUUAUUGGGCGUAAAGGGUACGUAGGCGGGCCUGCAAGUCUGAUUUGAAAGCACACGGCUUAACCAUGUGAGGUAAUUAGAAACUACAGGUCUAGAGAGUGGUAGAGGUAAAUGGAAUUCCAAGUGGAGCGGUGAAAUGCGUAGAGAUUUGGAGGAACACCAGUGGCGAAGGCGGUUUACUGGGCCACAUCUGACGCUGAUGUACGAAAGUGUGGGGAUCAAACAGGAUUAGAUACCCUGGUAGUCCACACUGUAAACGAUGAUAAGUCGCUGUCGGCGAUACACAGUCGGUGGCCAAGCGAAAGCAUUAAGUUAUCCACCCUGGGGAGUACGACCGCAAGGUUGAAACUCAAAAGGAAUUGACGGGGGCCCGCACAAGCGGAGGAACAUGUGGUUUAAUUCGAUGAUACGCGAGGAACCUUACCCGGGCUCGAACGGUGCAUGAAUAUACGAGAGAUUGUGUAGUCCUUCGGGACAUGUAUCGAGGUGCUGCAUGGUUGUCGUCAGCUCGUGCCGUGAGGUGUCGGCUUAAGUGCCAUAACGAGCGCAACCCUUGUCAUUAGUUGCCAUCAGGUCAAGCUGGGGACUUUAAUGAGACUGCCACCGUAAGGUGUGAGGAAGGGGGGGAUGACGUCAAAUCAGCACGGCCCUUAUGUCCGGGGCGACACACGUGUUACAAUGGGAGGUACAGAGGGCAGCUAUCCGGUGACGGAAUGCUAAUCUCCAAAACCUUUCUCAGUUCGGAUUGGAGUCUGCAACUCGACUCCAUGAAGGUGGAUUCGCUAGUAAUCGCGCAUCAGCCAUGGCGCGGUGA
rnacentral:rRNA from 1 species